ACUUACCCUCUCUGACCAUCCCCUCCCUCAAAUCUCAAACUACAAGACUCUUUGGAAAACUCCAAUUGCACUCAAUUUAUUCUGGGAGUGUGUUUAAAGGGUAAGGGUUUUGAAACACGAUCAACAAAAUAAUCAGUUCUGGAUUACACUAACUAGCAUCCCUCCAGAUGGAGCCAAGCCUUAAGAGGAAAAACAGCUUCCUGCAAGCCUCCCUCCGUGAAUGAGAAACUGUGUCUCAAAACUUUUUAUUGAAUAUUUCCCAGUGAUGCCUGUCUUUCCAGUAGGGGAAUGCUCGGUCUUUCUCAGAACCAAGACUUUUCCUCAGUCCAGCUGUGGCCAGAUGUUGCGCAACAUCUUGGUCUGUUUUCUGAUGAAAAAUGGCAUCUUUGGAGCAGACUUUCUGCAUUCUUACAAAUGUAUGGACAAAGCACAGUUCUUUUGCUCUUGACUUUCUAAUCUACAGACUGGAUAAAAACAAUGAAGGACUAGAGAGAUGCUCCUUGUUACAGAGUUGUUGCUCUACGAUACUCUGCUCUUUCAUUCCAGAUCACAUACAAGACAGCACCUACAAGAAGCUGUCUCGUCUGACCAAGGAUCUCAGAUGACCCAGAAUACUACAGAUCCUUGUCCUGGCUGGAGUGAGGAGCCUUUAAAUGCAAGCUGUGUGCCAACCAUUAACUUGAGUCAUGAGCCAUCAUGAGUGAAGUGGUCCAGGGAUUGCCACUUGGGCUCUACGCAGUAAGCUUAUGCUUCCCUCUGAUGCUAUUUAGUUUUUGACGGUGUUAUUAAAAUUAAAGGACUUUUUUCAAUGAGCGGGGAGGGAAUCUACUUAACCAAAUUGUUCAUAAAUGGCAUAAAACACAUCAAGACUUUGAUUUACGCCAAUCUGCCAAUACAGGAUCCUGCCAUUGCAAGAACCUUUUUAUAUAAAUAUUUACAAGAAGAAUGACAAAAGAAAAGUGGUUUGGGGAGCUACCAGAUGGAAUAAUACAAGAAUAAACUUUAAUGUAGUCAAAAUGGGCUUCACUAGCAAGGAGACUCUUCCAGCACCUGGGAGUUGGGGUGACAAGACUCAAGAGUUAAGAGUCAAACAACUUUUGGAGAGCUUCUCUUGGGAUUCAUUUUGAAUAAUCUAUAAAAACUAGAUUUUUGUGUUUAUUGAAACCUUCAAAACCUAAUUUGCAAUAAACUCCCAAAUAAUG